rnacentral:lncRNA from 1 species
UGGUGUUGACUGGGACUGAGCUGCUAAGGGUACUCUGGAUCUCAUUCCUUUAAACCUAUGGUGUCAAAUAAAACACCAUAGUGCAAAUGCAUCAGUUUAGAAAUAAACCAAGUAUGAAGAUGAGGUAAGUCUAAAUGCAAACGAUUAUGCAUGACCAAUUACUUAAAUAAAUAAUCAUGAGAGUACUGAAUAAGAAUAUAUACAUGAAUGCAUAAAUAAUAACUGAAAUAAUUGUGACACAAAAUACUAAAAUUCAGAUACCACUUUACUAUCAUCUAAAAUCACAACUAAUAUUGAGAUACUAAAUAAUUGAAUCUCCUGAUAUUGAUAACCGAAUGCUCGAGUUGACAUCAGUAUUCUCUAGUGAGUAAUCUAAAAAAUUGAUGUUACUAAAGUUGAUUAACUGAAUCUACUCACAUGAAUAACUGCACUCUGAACUUGCUAAUCUCAACUGAUUGAAUCGGAGAUCAAACCUCUCUAAUAGAUUAUCCCUAAAACCAAUAUCAAUGAAAAAAUAAGACUUUAUUUAGGAUCGAACCUAUCUAGAGAAGGAUUUCUGAAUUUGAUAAUGAGAAUACUCAACUGAAUCUAAGACUGAGAUCAAGCCUAUCUAAUGGGUAAUCUUUGGAUGAGAUAAUGAGAUUACUCAACUGAAUCAAAUACUGAGAUUAAGCCUAUUUAACGGGUGAUCUCUAGAUCUAAUAAUUAGAUUACUUAACUGAAUCUAAGACUGAGAUCAAACCUAUCUAAUGGGUGAUCUCUGGAUAUGAUAAUUAGAUUACUUAACUAAAUUUGAGACUGAGAUCAAGCCUAUCUAACGGGUAAACUUUGGAUCUCAUAAUACUGAUAUUAAAUAUCUUUACAUGAGACCAUCCCUAACUGGUGGGUGAUCCAUAAAUCAUUGAUACUAUCUGAGUUCCUUACUGAGAUAGGUGACAGUGUUUGACAGUCCUAAUUUUUGAGUUCUACUCUGAAGAUUGAUACUAAAACUUUAAUAGUGGGAGUUCUCACUUAACUGACAUGCCCCAAAUCUAAACUGGUUGGGUCCAACCGUUAACCCUAGCUGGAAGGGUGUAAAUACCGUGGCACAGGUAAAGAACACUACUCUGAUCAAGCCUCUCUAAUGGGUGACCCUCACAGGAAGUAAAGCCUAAGGCAGUAUAAUAGUAAAGCCUUAUUCUAAUGGAUUACUCCUUCUUCUGCACUGUCUAUGCAGUUCUAGAAUUUAGAGAUUUCUCCUAAAGACUCUGCCUCUCUAAGGAGGAGCCAUCAUCCCUUCACUUGCUCAGUGCUAGCUCCUACUCCCAACUAAAAGAUUGUAAAUCAAUUCUUAAUUGUUCUUAAACUAAGCUAAAUCUAUUACCGAUCAUUUUUCUCAAAUGAUCUGACUGAGUUAUGCUAAAUUUACUUAGUUUUGUAUCUGACGGAAUACUAUUGAAUUUCGUUAUCUAACUGAAUGAUACUGAGUUCCAAACUGAACACUUGAAUACUACUAGAUCUGAGCUGAGUACGAACUAAAACUAGAAUACUAUCUAUACUGAGAUUACUAAGAUUUUUUAAGAUUUGUAUUUGUUUGAGAGUACAGAGUUCUAUAAUUCACUAAGUUCUGAGAAUUGUGGCUUGACUGAGAUUAUUGUGAAAACUAACACUGGCUAUAGACUGUAGCUAAAUUGUUGGCUAUAAAUACCCUAGGACUCGAUAACAUAAAAAUAAAACAUAACCAUUCUUGAAUAAUCAAGACCAUGGACAUUUAUUCACCAUCACAAUCACUAAAGCAUAUCUUCAAGCAUUUAGGAAUCAUUAACAUGUGAUAAUAUAGGGAGACAUGCUAUUGACUCAUACCCCAUUAAACAAAGUCUUGCAUUAAACACUUAGCAUGCAUUGAAGAACACAUAAUUGGGGGAUUUCAUGCUAUCAUGCCAUAAUUUAUUCACUAAGGCUUUUCAACAAAUACUUGGCAUGCAUAGGCUUGCGCACAAUUGGGGAUUUUAAGUCAUUAUUCUAUAAUGGCUCUAAUUUCAUAACCUAAGCAUUUAAUCAAACUUAUGGGGAGCAUGCAUUGCUUAUUCAACAAUUUAUAAACUUCAUUGACAUGAACACAUCAUGUAACAACCCACUUGAAGAGUGUUUAUCAUGCAUAUCACAUGAAUUUCACAUACAAGGAUCAAAGCUUGAAAACCUUGUUAACAAACAUGAAUUAAAAUUCAAUAAUAGCAUGAAUUUUAAUUUCAAUUCACAUGAAUCAUAAAAACUCGUAAAACAUAAACUUUAAAAUUUUGAAAAUAAUUCUUGAAUUUCUUGGGUGGAAGGAACCAAAGAAUCAACAUCCAACAUGCCUUAGAAGACUCUUUCUUGAAGGUUCUUAAAGAAAUUCUUAGGCUCGUUCUUGAUUUCUUGACUAAGGUUCUUGACUUCUUGAGAUAGAAAAUAUUUUGGUUUGGGAAUAAAUUGAUGAAUAAUGAAGAAUUUUCAUUAGUUCGGGUAUAAAUCCCUUAUAUAGACUGGUUAAGGCUUUAGGGAAAUUACUAAACAGCCCCUAAAAUUAAAUAAUGGAAUCUAAACAUCCCGAUUUCUCAUACUGGUGCGACGCGGUGGAAUUGCACCAGCUCACUGGAAACUGGACAAUUGGGAAACUGGUUUGUGGUGCAAUGCAGUAGAAAUUGCGUUGCCACCUUGGUUGCAAACUGGAAAGGCACCAUGACGCGGUAUUAUCGUGUUGGUGCCCUAGAAAUUGACAACUCUAAAAUUGAGCCUUGGCACAAGGUGCCAUAGUCACUGAGGCUCACUAGAUUUUGACGAUUGUAAUUUUAGCUAGCUCCACGAUGCGCUAAAGUACCAGGUGGUACAUGUCUUACUAAAAUGUCUCUAACUCUUUACCCUAGUAUUGGAUUUGGGUGAAUUUGGUAUCAAUGAAAAGCUUAUUCGAUUUCCCAUGUGAUAAAAUAUCAAAAUCUUAUAAAUUUCACAUGGAAUAAAAUAUAUUCAUCUUUGAAGCAAGAUAUUUGAUGUUCUGGAGACAAAUUUAAACUAGGAGAAGUAUGGGGUAUUACACUGCCUCAUAGUACACACAUCGUACAUAUACAUAUUCUUAAACUGCAUAGUAGAAAAAAAUAGAAAACCCACACAAAAACACACAUACUCCUCCAUCCAUUCACUAAAUUCCCUUCACAAUACAUAUAUCGGGAGGAAUAUUGACACUCCUCAAUUUAUAUUCCACACAAUUACACACAAUACUUUUAUAGAAAACAUUCACGCACAUAGUACUUCAUUAAUACACUCUCACGCACCAUAUUCAUGCACUCACAUAUUGAUACACUACACACAAAAGAAAAGAAGAGGGAAAAGAAAGGUGUAGAGAGAAUUGAGAGAGAUAGUGAUUGAGAGGGAGAGAAAUAGUUAAGGCAGAUUCAUUCUAGUGACCAAAGUUUGUCGGCAUUUUGGGUCAUGAAAACUGUGGUUCUGAGCUUACCAUUGUCAAACCCAUUAGAAAACAUCGCCAACGAUAGAUCAGCAAUCGAUUUUGGUGACCAACACCUCAAAAAUAGUUCAAACAGCCUAGAAAUCCACCAAAAUUAGUAACCUCCGCUGAUUGGAAAAUAGGUCAGUGAAAAAAACACCAGCAGAAGGUGUGGCUCUAGCUAUCAUUUGCCAAAAACCAACCCAUAAUUUGAAAAAAGUUGAAAUUCUAUCCAGGAUUUAGGUAUGGAUUAGAUUCAAAUUUUUCAGAAGUUAUUGAGCUGCCGAGGUUGACAUCUAGGCUAGCUCGAAGAUCCAAAUCGACAAAGUUACUUUGUUUAAUAGAAAAUAAUUCAUCAAAUUGAGGUCCAAUUCUAUUCUCUCUCUUUCAUUUUAUUAUUUGUUAUAUUCGAUGCAUUGAAUUAAACAGGGCAUGUUGGUUGAUCUGUGAUGAUGUGAAUUAUUGGUUGCUUUGAUUCAGUUCUUGAUUUCCUUUAUUAUGAAUUAAUUAUGUGUUUUGUGAUGAAAUAAUAUCUCAUGAAGAAUUAAAAUAACUUAUUUAGGGUGGGAAUAGAAAAUUGAUAAAGGUGAAUAUUGGUUAUUCUGAUGCAUUGAUGAUUGUAUAAUUUGGAGUAAAUAUUAAAGUUUAUUAAAUGCAAUAAUAUCAUGAUGGGUUGAAAUUAGUAGGUAAAUUGUCGGUCGGGUAGGAAAAUUUAGGAAUUGAGAAUUGUUGGAUGCCUCAAAAUAUUUGUGGAAUGGAUUGUCUUUCUCGUAUUUGGAUAAUAUUUUCAUUUAGAGGGGGAAUGCCCCGAGGUCAUUUGUAUUUUUUCAUCGAAGAAUGCCCUAAAAAUCUUAUACGUGAAGAAUGUUCGUGACCAAGGACCGAGGCAUUGUGUAAAGCAUAUUAAUAGGAUUAGUAUAGGUUAGUGAUGCUUUAUUUCAGUACAUUUUAUUUUGGACUAUAAUAACUAGAUUGGAUACUAUUUUUUGGACUUGUUUUGUUUGGCAUGGUUGUUUUGUUUGUUUUGUAUGUUUUAUAUGGUUUAUUCACCUCGUAGCAUCUACUAGUUGGUAUACUCUACCGAGCGAUCGUGGUCGAACCACUGGACCGAGAGGUUCUAACACCUCCUCGAUCAACAAAAUUCCUUAAUUGGAUUCUCUAUUCGCGGAUCAAUUUUAAAGAUUAAAACUUUAUUUUGAAAAAGUAUUUCCAAAGGUGACUUGACACACCAAAUUCAUGAAAAAAGAUUUUAAAAGUCGCGACUCUGAGUUCAAAUGAAAAAAAUCCUAUCAUUUAAUAAUAGAAACCCUUUAAAACUUAAAAUCAUAAUCAUUUUCGGUAAAAAAAAAGAGGUGUGACAGCUCUGGCGACUUUGCUGGAGAUUUUUUAGAAUUCAAGCUUAUUUUUUAGUUGUAUCACCAUGGCUUGACACUAUAGGUGUAUAAACAGUUUGUCAUUAUUGAUAUUAUUAUUUUAUCAUUGUUGGAUGCGUUUGUGCUACGUGUUUAUAGUUUUCUCUUAGAUUUACCACUUAUAUCCUGUAUCAUAUGCAUUACUCUGAGUUAUUUUGUUCUAUAACAAGUUGUGAAGUACAUGUCGUGUACAUGAAUGCUAGUUGAGUCACCCUUAUUUUAGGAAGCGAUCCAUUAGAUGUAUGGAGUAGGUGGAAAGUAAUCACAGCCUCUAUCGACCAUAAGCUCCUCCAAACAGCCUUAUUAGUUGACCCCAGCCUAGUUCAACCUUUAGGUCAUGCUUAUCUGCAUCAUAUUUAGUACUACCGUUUGCUACCAUGUGCUAAUUGCUGCUUCUUAGAGGGUAAUAGGUUCUUUUGACAGACUGAUUUAGAGAAAAGCAUGUGUUUAGGAAAGAAUAAUUCAAAAAAAAAAGGAAAAAGAACAAAUGUAAGGUGAAUCAAAAAAGAGUUUCUUAGCUUUUAGACUUCUUUAUGUCUUCUGUUUUUCAUAAUUCAAAAAUUCAAAAAGAUUUUCUUAGCCUUUGCAGUCAUUUCUCAAAAACAUUAAAAAUAUUUUCCUUUUGUUUCUUUAGUAAGCAUUGAAAAUUCAAAAAAUUUCAAAAAAGAUUUUUCUUAAAAGGAGCUUUUAAUAAAGGAAAAAAAAUGCAAGGAAAUGGUAGAAGUUUUGUACAUUUCAUAUAAUGAAAUACCAAAAAAAAUUUCCUUUCAUAUUUAUUGGUGUCAUUUUUAUGUUAAGUGUCUAGUUGAAAACUCAAAAAAGAUUUUAUGGAAAUUUUUCAUCAUUUAUCUUGAUCGUGUCUCUCAAGUUAUGGUUCAUUCUGUCUAUUAUUGUUUAAGUGUCCAAUCUGGACGAACUACACACACCUGAUUCUUCUCUCUUGGGAGUGAGAUACGUAGGCUGACAUUCGUGGGUUCGGUGAUCUUAUUUAAAAAAUCCAAAAAUAUUUUCUUUAGUCUUCAUUUUGAGUAGGUGUUUCAUAUACAUAUUUAAUAGAAAACUACAAAAAAAUUACUUUAACAGGUUCAAGUUUCAUUUUCAUAUUAAAUUCAAAAUUGAAACCCAAAAAGAUUUUUUUUGAUAAUCAUAGGUUUAAUUUCAUAUAGGAUUUUAAAGGUGAAAAAUUCAAAAAAUAUUUUCAUCAAUUCUUUUGACAAUUUGUUAUUUUCUUUUCUUCUAAAAAUUUUGUGAAAAAAAAAAGACUUCGAUCGGCCAUGUUAUGCCAAAACUUCACAAAGUACACACACCUGAUUCUCCUCUUCCAGGAGUGAGAUAUGUAGGCACCCUUCUAGGGUUUGGUGAUCUUUUCAGAAGAAAAAAAAAGGAAAAAGAGGUUUUGAGAAAGUGUCACACUCUAAAACAUUUGUUAUCUCCUGUUUAGUUAGUUUAAGGUGGUUAGUUUGUGGCAUGCUAGAUGGUCCUCCACAACACACCAGGUCUAUGGAACAAUUUAUUAUGGCCAACAAGGAUAUAGAAAGUUAUAUCACGGAUCAAACAAAGUGUUGGGAAAAUGAGAGCUCAAACUAGGAGAUUUUGAGACUAAGGAAAUAAAUAAUGGAAAUGUAUUGAUCUUAGGCCAGUGGGCUACCUUCUCCUCCAUUCCCCACUAUUGACACUGCCAAUACCUUGAGCUUUCCAUCACAAUUGCAAUGUCAUUUUCCUACUGUUGUUGAUACACCACAACAUGCCUCAAAAUCCAUCCAUUUCAAAUGCAUCCCAAAAAUUUCACCACUCUUUCUUUAGCUCCUUAUUAUAAGCCUACCACAUUCGCAGAACCAUAUAUUGUCUGUGCUUUUAUUGCUCAACCUUCUACUGAGCCCCCCACUUUGCUAUCAAACAAACGAUUCUGCUUCCCUAAUCUGCUAAAGAACCUAUGUUUAAUACUAUUGGUGAUCUCUGUUACACUCUUGAGCCUACAGUUAAGUUAUUUGGACAACAAAAAUUUCUUACCAAGAAGCAUAGCAUGCCAGAUGAGGUAGUGAAAAUCAUUGGGAAAGUGAAGAAUGUAAAAAAUGAUACAAAAAUUUCCUUUGGAAUUGCAGGUUAUUAGGAUGUUUCAUCUUAAAAUUGGGGAAUGUUUUCAAGUGUUAACCUUCCUCGAAGCUUUAAGGCAUCAAAAUCGGUGGAGAAUGAUGGGAAUGAGGCUACUGUGAAAUAUUUUGGAUGAUAUUGCAAUCAAUCAAGCAAAACUGAAGGAAAAAAAAAAGAAAAACACACCUAUUGUUGUGCAAAGGCCAAAGCACAGUUUGUGAGGUCCAACUCACCAAUACUGUCAGCCUCAAUACCAAGCUUACAUAUUAGAUCCACAUGCUCACCUGCAAUAAGGUUCCUCUUUAAAAUAUCAAAGAUAUUCCAUUCCACUUCCUCAGUAAAUGCACAAUGGUAUACUCAUAUGUCUUCUUAUCCAUAAUGGCGUGUAAUGGUCCCUCAACAUCAUCCUCGAACCCCACAUAUUUACCAAGGAACUUCUAAUUCCAUGCUUCAACUAAGGCCAAAGUUUGCAAAAAUGAGGAAAUCAAAGGAUAAUUUUACACCAUUUAAGGAAUUGUAUGCCAGUUUAUUUAAGAGAUUUAGACAUUUGGUCAUGAUCACUCCUUUCAUUGGGUGUACUCCUGAUCCACAUUCAAGAAUUUUUGGUCCUCAUGUAAGAUAUAAAUAUCUUAUUGAUAUCCAGGGUCACAGUAUUGAAGAUUGUAGUGCUUUGAAAAGAGAAAUAAAAA